AAGUCGUAACAAGGUUUCCGUAGGUGAACCUGCGGAAGGAUCAUUACAUUCAGUAGCCUAGCUACUUGUUUACACCCUUGUUUUUUUGCGUACCUAUUGUUUCCUCGGUGGGCUUGCCUGCCGGUUGGACAAAACCUAUAACCUUUUCAAAUCUUCAAUCAGCGUCUGAAUUAAACAUAAUAAUUACAACUUUCAACAACGGAUCUCUUGGUUCUG
rnacentral:misc_RNA from 1 species